UACGUAGGGGGCAAGCGUUGUCCGGAUUUAUUGGGCGUAAAGCGCGUGUAGGCGGCUUUGCAAGUCGGGUGUGAAAGCCCUCAGCUCAACUGAGGAAGUGCGCCCGAAACUGCAGAGCUUGAGUGCCGGAGAGGGUGGCGGAAUUCCCCAAGUAGAGGUGAAAUUCGUAGAUAUGGGGAGGAACACCGGUGGCGAAGGCGGCCACCUGGACGGUAACUGACGCUGAGACGCGAAAGCGUGGGGAGCGAACAGG
rnacentral:rRNA from 1 species